GCCAUUGCUCAGUAAUAGAGCAUCUGCUUUGCAUGCAGAAGGUUCUCUGGUUCAAUCCCAGGUUUCUCCA